UACGUAGGGGGCGAGCGUUGUCCGGAGUUACUGGGCGUAAAGCGCUUGUAGGCGGUCCACCAAGUUUGGGGUGACAGUUGCCGACUUAAUCGGCAAAGUGCCUCAAAGACUGGCGGACUUGAGGGCUACAGAGGGACAUGGAACUCCAGGUGUAGUGGUGAAAUACGUAGAUAUCUGGAAGAACACCAAAGGCGAAGGCAGUGUCCUGGGUGGUCGCUGACGCUGAGAGGCGAAAGCCAGGGGAGCGAACGGG
rnacentral:rRNA from 1 species